GUGCUUGCUUUGGCAGCUCAUACACUAAAACUGGAAUGAUACAGAGAAGAUUAGCAUGGCUCUUGCGCAAGGAUGACUUGAAAAUUCGUGACAUGUUAAAAAAAUUG
ensembl:snRNA U6 U6 spliceosomal RNA